GAUGAACGCUGGCGGCGUGCCUAAUACAUGCAAGUCGAGCGAACAGACGAGGAGCUUGCUCCUCUGACGUUAGCGGCGGACGGGUGAGUAACACGUGGAUAACCUACCUAUAAGACUGGGAUAACUUCGGGAAACCGGAGCUAAUACCGGAUAACAUGUUGAACCGCAUGGUUCAACAGUGAAAGACGGUUUUGCUGUCACUUAUAGAUGGAUCCGCGCCGCAUUAGCUAGUUGGUAAGGUAACGGCCUACCAAGGCAACGAUGCGUAGCCGACCUGAGAGGGUGAUCGGCCACACUGGAACUGAGACACGGUCCAGACUCCUACGGGAGGCAGCAGUAGGGAAUCUUCCGCAAUGGGCGAAAGCCUGACGGAGCAACGCCGCGUGAGUGAAGAAGGUCUUCGGAUCGUAAAACUCUGUUAUUAGGGAAGAACAAAUGUGUAAGUAACUAUGCACGUCUUGACGGUACCUAAUCAGAAAGCCACGGCUAACUACGUG
rnacentral:rRNA from 1 species